rnacentral:tRNA from 2 species
GUCCUGUUAGCUCAGCCUGGUAGAGCGGUGGGCUCUUAACCCACGUCGUCGGCGGUUCGAAUCCGUCACGGGACA